GACAGGUCCAGAGCCAGGAGAGGGGACAGGUCCAGAGCCAGUAGAGGGGACAGGUCCAGAGCCAGUAGAGGGGACAGGUCCAGAGCCAGCAGAGGGGACAGGUCCAGGGUUCAGCCAGUAGAGGGGACAGGUCCAGGAUUCAGCCAGUAGAGGGGACAGGUCCAGGAUUCAGCCAGUAGAGGGGACAGGUCCAGGGUUCAGCCAGUAGAGGGGACAGGUCCAGGGUUCAGCCAGUAGAGGGGACAGGUCCAGGGUUCAGCCAGCAGAGGGGACAGGUCCAGGGUUCAGCCAGCAGAGGGGACAGGUCCAGGGUUCAGCCAGCAGAGGGGACAGGUCCAGGGUUCAGCCAGCAGAGGGGACAGGUCCAGGGUUCAGCCAGCAGAGGGGACAGGUCCAGGGUUCAGCCAGUAGAGGGGACAGGUCCAGGGUUCAGCCAGUAGAGGGGACAGGUCCAGGGUUCAGCCAGUAGAGGGGACAGGUCCAGGGUUCAGCCAGUAGAGGGGACAGGUCCAGGGUUCAGCCAGUAGAGGGGACAGGUCCAGGGUUCAGCCAGUAGAGGGGACAGGUCCAGGGUUCAGCCAGUAGAGGGGACAGGUCCAGGGUUCAGCCAGUAGAGGGGACAGGUCCAUAGCCAGUAGAGGGGACAGGUCCAUAGCCAGCAGAGGGGACAGGUCCAUAGCCAGCAGAGGGGACAGGUCCAGGAUUCAGCCAGCAGAGCGGACAGGUCCAGAGCCAGGAGAGGGGGACAGGUCCAGAGCCAGUAGAUGGGACAGGUCCAGAGCCAGGAGAGGGGACAGGUCCAUAGCCAGCAGAGGGGACAUGUCCAGGGUUCAGCCAGUAGAGGGGACAGGUCCAGGAUUCAGCCAGUAGAGGGGACAGGUCCAGGGUUCAGCC